GGAAGUAAAAGUCGUAAUAAGGUCUCCGUUGGUGAACCAGCGGAGGGAUCAUUACCGAGUGCAAACUCAUAACCCUUUGUGAACCUAUAUCUGUUGCUUCGGCGGCUCGCUCUCGGGCGAGCCCGCCGGUAAUAUCAGUAUCUCUGUUUGAACCCGACCAUACUUCUGAGUGUUCUUAGCGAACAGUUAAAACUUUUAACAACGGAUCUCUUGGCUCUA
rnacentral:misc_RNA from 1 species